UCAGCCCUCUAGGCGGGAGCCGUACACACUUGCCACGCACGUAGGCAGGAGCAGAGGAGAGCCGAGCUCGCGUAGGGCCUACAGGCCCAGGCGGAGACCCAGGCUGUGGAGGCCCCCAGGGGGGUGGCAGGGGCCUCAAGGCCAUGUCUGGUUGGUGCUGCCUGGGGCAGUGUGAGGCAGGGUUGCCACCCCAAGUGACCCCUUGCCUUCUGCCAGCAGAGCAGUACCCCAGCCUUCGGCCAACAGGCACUUGGACAUCUCUCCUACAAGGGGCAGUGUCUCUGAGCCUAGGCUACAGGUUCCCCCAUCUUCACCUCCCCAGUUACUGAAAUCCUAGUGCUCCCUCCUGCCCCUAGUUCCUCACACCCUCUCAACUUUUCCCUGCCCGUGCCUGUCCCUUUCCCCUGAAGCAGGUUCUGAAUGGAGGCAGACUGUCCUGCUCAGAUUGUUGCAAAGCCUGGCAGCAGGAGGUUGAUAGAUGGCUAAUCUUCCCCUGUUUGUGCCUGUAUUGUCAAGAAAGGCUCAAGGAGGGAAAGGGGAAGGACAGACCCCCUCACAGCAGCCCCAGGGGACAGGCCAUCAGAAAUUAUUUAAAAUCCCAUGCCAGUCUGCUAACAUAGCACAGCAGGGAUAGCCAGCACAACCCCUACUUACUACAGCUCCCAGGAAGCACUGCAGCAUUAAUUGCUCCAUGACAUGUCAAGUGGCAGCUCAUUUUGGACGUGCAUAAAAUACAAGGAAAAUAAAGUGCCCCACCCCACAAUGCCCCCUUAUUAAGAGCCAUAGAAUGGCCUGAACAUAAGGGGUGCUUUGCUGGAUUUUGAACCACAAGGCAGUUUGAGAGCCUUAACUCCAAAUCACUCAUUAACUUGUGCAAUGUAAAGAGAAAAUGAUUUGCCUUCACCAGGAGAAGAAAUACAUGUGAUUGUGACAUAAUUCUUAAAGAGGAAGUUACUCACCUUGUGCAGUAACAAUGGUUCUUCAAGCUGUCUCUCCCUAUGGGUGCUCCACUAUAGCUGCGCUUGCAUCCCUAUGCUGCUGCUCAGAGAACUUUUGUAGCAGUAUCCCUUUGGCCCACACUUGUGCUGUCCGCAGCUAACCAGUGCUGUGCAGGCAAACCCGCCUCAGUUUCUUCUCUACUAGAGUCCUUGACAAGAACUCCAAAGCAGAGGGAAGGAGGGAGGGUCAUGGAGCACCCAUACAGAUAUACAUCUCAAAGAAUCAUCGUUACUGCACCAGGUCUUUUGAUAAUAGAGGGAACCAGAGAAAGGUGUAUACAAGGUCCUUGACCCAUAGAAAGAGAGCAUCCCCUAAGGAAUGCUGCCCGAGGCCUGUUCUGGAGCAGUAGCAUGGACAAUUCUUGGUCAGAUUUUAAGGCCAGAAGAGACCAUGAGAUUCAUCUAGUCUGACUUCCAGAUAACCUCAUCAGUGAUUCCUACAUCAAGCCCAUAACUUCUGGUUGAGCUACAGCAGAUCUUUUAGAAAGCCCUCCCAUUCUGAGAUAGAGUCUGCAAAUGAUGGAGAAUCCACCAUGGUCCUAGAUAAGCUAUUCCAAUGGUUAAUCACACUCACUGUUAAUAUAUACCUUAUUUGUAAUCUGAAAUUGUCUAGCUUCAGCAUCCAACCAUUAGAGCUCAUUAUGCAUUUGUCUGCUAGAUUAGAGUUGUCUGUUAUUAAAAAUCUUCUCCCUGUGUAAGUAUUUAGAGACUGAAAGUCAACCCUUAAGCUUCCCUUGGAUAAAUUAAAUACAUUCUAUUUAAGGUACUUCUCUGGCUCCAUUAUCACAA